GGAUGUGAAGGCGAUGUGGCUGCAGCACCUAUCAGCGUGCUGGUCACCAAGGCUGACUCUGCUGAUUCAGCUGGCUAGAUCCUCUUCCGUCCUCAUGGCUCUCUGUGGGUUCUUCCCCAACCUGUUCAACCCCAUCCUUGGCUGAAGAGGAUGACCUUUCCAUGGAGGAGGGCCAUUCUUCAGUCAAGCAUAUGAGCACCCUCAUUCCUUUGCUAGAACCUCCAAAUGAGUCGAGAAAAUCUGAAACAUGUGUCUAAAACUCUGGAGUUGGGAACUGGGAGGGAACGAUUUCAUUUCCUUCAGGUUCUGGGCCUGUUACU
rnacentral:snRNA from 1 species